GGUCAGGCUGAAGACCUUACCGGAUUAGCUGAGAGGUGGUGCAUGGCCGUCGUCAGUUCGUACUGUGAAGCAUCCUGUUAAGUCAGGCAACGAGCGAGACCCACGUCCACAGUUGCCAGCAUACCCUCCGGGGUGAUGGGUACACUGUGGAGACCGCCGCUGCUAAAGCGGAGGAAGGAAUGGGCAACGGUAGGUCAGUAUGCCCCGAAUCUCCCGGGCUACACGCGGGCUACAAUGGUUGGUACAAUGGGCAUCUACCCCGAAAGGGGAAGGAAAUCUCUUAAAGCCAAUCGUAGUUCGGAUUGAGGGCUGCAACUCGCCCUCAUGAAGCUGGAAUCCGUAGUAAUCGCGUUUCAACAGAACGCGGUGAAUACGUCCCUGCUCCUU
rnacentral:rRNA from 1 species